rnacentral:snoRNA from 1 species
AAGCAUGUUGCAACCCCGGGCUUUUCUGAAUAAUAAAUGACGUAAAAGCCCCAUUGCACAUGCAAAAUCAAUGCUAUUCGUGUUGCAGUUCAUCUCACUAAAUCCCACGAUUGAUCUGUGUCAAAGUAAUGGCAACAUUG